GUCCCCGCGGCAGCAACUCUGCCACCUCUCUCCUGCCCAGACCCUGGCUGGCAGGAGGAGGACAUGCAGGGGAACCACUGGAAGCCAGGAGGAGAGAGUUUAGGCUUAGCUCCCAGGCUGGAGCCCUUCAACUACCAAGUCUCACAGCCCAAUGCCCUCGCUUCAGGGUCCCGUUGGUGGAGGCAGGGCACCAGGCAGACCAGAUGGGGCAAAACCCAGGCCACCGGGGCUGACGGCUGAGCGUCUAGACCUCAGACCUUAGACCCAGAAAAGAAACUUUAUUUUCCCACUUGGGCUAUACUGGGACCUGGCCCUAGUUAUUUGUGUAGAGGAAAUAAGAAGAGAUGGAGACAGAUCUUGAGAAGGACAAGCAUCACAUUGGAAGUCAACCAUCUCAGGUGAAGACUCUGCACAGUAUCCA
rnacentral:lncRNA from 10 species